UGCUGGCCUACCACUCCAAAAAGGAGCACAUUGCUGAUUUUUAGUUGGGAUGGAGCAAUGGCAGAGAAGCCGAAGUGUAACAAGGAUUUCACAUGCGGAAAGAAAAGUGCUGCUCAGUCUGUGACAACCUUCUGGUGCAGGAGAAGCAGACAAGGCUUCUGAAAAGAAUCUGUCUCUUCUCAGAGCUCUUUGGCUCUGGGAUUUAUCAUGAGACCAAGCCCACAAAAGGACCAAAAGAAGACCAGAGCCAGAGCUGUGGAAGGCAUCAGAAAGAAUCCCAGAUUUUCAGCCCUCAGUCACUGCUGUUUACACUACAUAACCUCUGAAAAAAUCCUGCUUAGGCAUGGAAGAGGAGCUGCAUGGACUGAGUUCUCAGGCUGCAUCUUGCUGGCAUCUGCUACUGGACAAAUGAAAUAAAUGUCUCAAUCAUAAUGGUUUGAGCAUGACAUGUCAUUUUUUUCCUAUGCACCUUUUCUGCUGUGUCUAUUGGGAUGUGCUCCCACUGAACCAUGUGGCUAACACAACCUGCUGUAUAAAUCUGUAUUCAGAAAGAGCAUAUUCAGAGGUAAAGGAGGCAGAGGAGGCAGUCUACAUUUUCAGAAGCAAUAAAGAAGGGGCUAGGAAAGACAUGCUGAAGAGUCAGAUGCUCACAGAGCUGAGUGGAAAGAAGGAAUAAGGACAUUAUUUCUGUAGAGAUUUGGUCGUCUUAACCUUCACCUGCUGUGGAUGUUCCCAGCUUGUCCUCCAUUUCCCCUUGCCUUUUGGAUCCCAUCCCUAUCCUCUGUGGGAAAGCGCUGGCAGCAGACAGCUGCUAAGGAUCAGAUCCAAGAAGUGGGUCCAUGCUCAAAGCCAGAUGUGUGGCAACACAACGUGGAUGAGGAGGCCAAGGCGAAAGAAGCUGGGAAGGAUAACCUUGAACAGAUGGGAGAGAA